rnacentral:rRNA from 1 species
GACGAACGCUUGCGGCGUGCCUAAGAAAUGCAAGUCGAGCGGGGUCUUACGCUGUCCAAAGCUUCGGCAGCGGACUUGUAAGAUCUAGCGGCGAACGGUCGAGUAACACGUAAGCAACCUGCCUCGAAGUUCGGGAUAACUACUCGAAAGGGUGGCUAAUACCGGAUGUGCAUGUGGGAUCGCAUGUUCCGACAUGUAAAGGCGCAAUUCGCUUCGAGAUGGGCUUGCGGCCUAUCAGCUAGUUGGUGGGGUAACGGCCUACCAAGGCGACGACGGGUAGCUGGUCUGAGAGGAUGGUCAGCCGGAUUGGGACUGAGACACGGCCCAGACUCCUACGGGUGGCAG